AGGCCGCAUAAAGCCGGCAGAAAAGUUGGGGCACUGAUGGCAACAUCCUCCCUACCACCACAGGAUCGAUGACUCCUAUUCCCAAAUCACAACACUAUACACGCAGCAAAAGGCACAUGAAGGCGUCCAGGUUCAAUGCACGCGAUCCCUGUCGUUGCAGCAGGACGCCGUUCAAAGCUGAAGACCCAGAUGACAAGUUCCCGAGCUGGUCAGGUAACAGAGCUUGAGCCUCUGAACGGGGAUCGGAAUAUUUGUAUAAGUAGCUUUGUAGAAGCAUCAUCCCCAAAGCCAAGAUGAUGAUGCCAUUCUUCCCCGAGCUGUAGGAGGAGGAGAGGCCGUCGUCUCGCAUGGAGUUCCCCCAUUCACUUCUUGGUUCUAGGCACUUCUUGGCUCUUUGUAGUUUGUUGUUCCUUCAGGUAGGCAAGAGGAUUUGGUUGUUGUGAUGUGAUUUCCCUUGUUUUCGUCGGGGAGAUGGAGUUGCAUCUCAUCCUGCUGCUGCUGCUGCUGCUCCGUGUUGAUGCAGUUUGAUUGUAUGUUUGUAUCCAGGCAAAUAAAUCUUUCAUGAGUAGAGUAUCAUGCUUUGUUCUUCUUAUCUCUUUCAGUCUACUUCUAUUUCUUUCGUUCUGUGUUUCACUGUGCAUCGCCUCAGGAAAUACCAAUGUUCUACUUACAGACUGCUGUUCCGUUAUGCCAUUAAUUGAAUCCGGCCAAGGUUGAGGGCGUAUCAGAAAAAAAAAGGAAAUAUAAAUGUUCAACUCCAGUAGUGCAAAUGUGUGUGUUUCUGGACAGGGUCGUGAUUAUGAAUUUACUAGUAAGCAUGUACGUGCGCUCAUACCAAACAUAAAAUUCCAUUGAAAAUUUGAAGUCUAUUUAAAAACCAAAGAUAAACCCAACUGCAAGGAGCUAUAUGUUUACUUGAGAAUCAUCAAUCUGAUUCAUUGAAUUGAAUUACUGAAGAAGAAAAAUCCAAUUUAUUGAACUACAUUUGGUGUGUUUUUACAACAACUAUAAUUGAGUGUUUUGACACUCUAGGGCGUACAUUCUCUGCAUUUGUUGCAUCGAAUCGACAUCACAAAAACAUGGUAGGCAGGAAAGCUCCACCGGCCACCCUAUGGAGUUGGGGGAUCAAAGGCGUCGCAGAGUAUGAGAAUGUUGCGCUCCUGGGUCAAAUGCAACCAUAAAGAUCACAGCACCAUGAGACGUCUCUGUCAUGUAAGGUGAUAUUGAGAAAUGGUACCCACAAGAGAAUGUUGAUCUCCAUGUACUUCAGUACUCAGAUAGCCAAGUAGUAGUCUAUACAUGUAUGCAAUUUACAGCAGCACAACGCUUGUAACCACAGUCAAAAUCAUCAUAAAGGAUCUUGACUUUGCAUUUCAAUCUACAAUUAGCAGCAAAUAUUCCACACAGCCUGCUUGUUGGACCUUUAUCCACUGAUGAAAGCAAAAAAAUUAGGAGGAACACACAUCCAGAGGCCACAAACCAUUUUCGUCACUUCUGCUUGAUCUACUUUCAACACAAGAAAAAGGAAGAGAAACAAAAUCGGGUAAGAGUAAAGUGCAAACCCCACAAAAUCAGGUAAGAUGUUAUACAGCUCAUAUACCCUUGCCCGAUUCUCUUGCCACCAUUGUUCUGCUUGCUUGUCACUGAAAUACUUGGGGCUGCAUGCAGAAAAUAGAAUGAGUGAGAGUAAUAAAGCAAGUUAUUCCUAAGCCAAAAACGAUUGAUGCAGGUAUCUGAAACUUCGUAGGGUAUACACAUUGAACAGGUGACCGAAACUUUGAUACAAAGGCACACAGGUUUCCAAUAUUCAUGCAUUCUGAAUUUCCAAUCUUAGGAUCUUAAUCUAAUUAUUUCAUCCAGCUCAUGGCAGAACUCCGAACUCUGUAAAGAUCUGUCAGGUUGCUCCCCGAUUUUGCCAAAAGCCACAACAAUAAAUUUUCUGCUGGAGGCCAUCGAGGUGGAGGCAGCAAGCAAGAAGGAGGAGAAGACGCCCAUGUCGUGCUCGAUCUUCUUCGACGCGGUCGUCGCCGACGGUUGCAGUGCAGCCACGAGUUCAGCCUCGGCAGACGGUAACGUCCCUCUCACGCGUCCUCUCCGCUGAAAAAUCGGCCGCAUGAUUUGUUCCUCUAAUCAUCUCUCCAUUUUACCAUCACCCCUUCUCCCUUUACGAUGCCAAUCCUAGCCGCCAGCACCUCCAGUCCUCCACCAAUGCUCCACAUCUCCACACGGGCCUGCAACUAUGUGAUUCAGAGGAGGCAGGAGCUAUUCUCUUGAUCAACUUUUAACAUCUGAAUGUACUUUCACAUUAUUUCAGGGCCUUUCAAGGACUUAGCAUCAAUGAGUUCAAGGGUCUGCAAUUCGAGCAACAAUAUUCUGCACUGAAAUUUUCUCAAUCUGAUCCAAAAUGCCAGUUCCUGUAUAAGAAUUUGAAGUUCGUUCCAGAGUUACAAUUGACACUAAAUAUAAAGAGGAGGGGACCAUGGGAUACUUAGUCUGUAAUACGAUUAUUAGAAUUUUGAUUGCUGACACGUGAUGCAUCCUGGAAUUAAUUAUUUAUACUCAUCAUUGAUUUACUAAAGUUUAAAUUUGUUCCGUAUAUUACGGUACUUAGCUUUGUUUUUUUAUUACUCAAAUAUAAUGCAAGGCAAGGGAUGAUUAAUUUGUUCCCUAUAUUGCAGUAGUUAGCUUUGUUAUCUAUGCAGAACAUCGGACUUAAAAGUCCGCAUGGCCACUCCCCAGAAGAUACCUUUUCCACAGCAGCAAUGAGCAGUCCAAAGGUCUAGCAGAUGAGAUCCUCCGUUAUUCCAUGAUAUCGGUUGGCGAGAUUUCUUCCCCUCUGCCUUCUCCCUACUAUUAUUUGGAUGCAGGUUUCGUAAACUGAUAUCUAUUCCAAUUGGGUGUGCAUUGAGUUGUGGGUUAGUUUUCGUAUAUAUAAAACAGCACCUAGCUUCACAUGGAUUUACCUAGAGAAUGAUACUGACUUGGUGUAUAUUUUAGCUAGAUUUGUACAGAAUCUUGGAUGCAGGUGGAAUGCGUUUCUUGAAUCACACAUGAGUCAAGAUCUUUUGCGGAAUCCAAGAAUUUAUGGAUGUCCCUGUUACAUUAGAGAUCAAUUGUACUCUUUUUUUUUCCGCGAACAAGAGAUCAAUUGCUCUUGGAACUCCCAUUCGAGGCGCAUCUGUAUUGCCUGUCCUACAAACCAGCCCUGGUCCUGUGACAAGGAGGCAACUUGCUCUUGCAAAGGCAUCAGAGGGAGUAUAUGGAAACCCAAUUUCUCCGCCAAGAUCUGUUGUGACAGCUGCAAAGAAGAUCACACCGAAGAGAAAGAAAAGAUCUUAAAAUUGCAUUGUGCGACCUGGUCCUGAUGAUGAUUCUUUGGGGCUAAAUUUGUGCUAUGUCAUCCUAAUUUUGCCAUCUAAUAUGUGAGAUACGUGACUCUUAUGCUUGGUCUGUUUAUAGUGAGAUUGUGGACUCGCUUUUGAUUAAAACCUUGUCGAGAUCUUUUAUUA